rnacentral:rRNA from 1 species
GGUGGUAAUGCCGGAUGCUCCGACUCCUCGCAUGGGGUGUCGGGAAAGAUUUCAUCGGUAUGGGAUGGGGUCGCGUCCUAUCAGGUAGUCGGCGGGGUAACGGCCCACCGAGCCUACGACGGGUAGCCGGCCUGAGAGGGCGACCGGCCACAUUGGGACUGAGAUACGGCCCAGACUCCUACGGGAGGCAGCAGUGGGGAAUAUUGCACAAUGGGCGCAAGCCUGAUGCAGCGACGCCGCGUGCGGGAUGACGGCCUUCGGGUUGUAAACCGCUUUUGAUCGGGAGCAAGCCUUCGGGUGAGUGUACCUUUCGAAUAAGCACCGGCUAACUACGUGCCAGCAGCCGCGGUAAUACGUAGGGUGCAAGCGUUAUCCGGAAUUAUUGGGCGUAAAGGGCUCGUAGGCGGUUCGUCGCGUCCGGUGUGAAAGUCCAUCGCUUAACGGUGGAUCUGCGCCGGGUACGGGCGGGCUGGAGUGCGGUAGGGGAGACUGGAAUUCCCGGUGUAACGGUGGAAUGUGUAGAUA